rnacentral:rRNA from 1 species
UACGAAGGGGGCUAGCGUUGUUCGGAAUCACUGGGCGUAAAGCGCACGUAGGCGGAUCUUUAAGUCAGAGGUGAAAUCCCAAGGCUCAACCUUGGAACUGCCUUUGAUACUGGGGAUCUUGAGUCCGGGAGAGGUGAGUGGAACUGCGAGUGUAGAGGUGAAAAUUCGUAGAUAUUCGCAAGAACACCAGUGGCGAAGGCGGCUCACUGGCCCGGUACUGACGCUGAGGUGCGAAAGCGUGGGGAGCAAACAGGG